rnacentral:lncRNA from 1 species
AACAAGCAUUUCCCCUGCAACCAGAUCAACUUUAGGUUUCUGUAUUACUCUUUGUGUUACUACUGCAAUCAUAGUUUACCUGUUGUGACUCGUUUUCUCUGCCCUCCGGAAAUUCCCCUUAACAUCUCAUUUCCUACUAAAGUGUCGGCGCAGAUAUCAAGCCCCAAGAUCUUAAGAACGUAUUCUGUAACAACGUUUACUUCGUCUCCUUCCGUGGCAGCUGCCUACAUUAUCACAAAUCAGACCGGUAUAGUAAUAUUAAGACAGCAAUAACAGCCAUAUGCAUCAUAAAUUUUAUGUAUUUACCUUCAUGAAUAUAUCAAUGUCAGGAUCCGGCUUAAUGUUUGCUACUUUCUCUCUUCUUGACAGUUCUGCCAGCAUAUCUGUCCGAGCCAUACGUGACCACAAAAACAGUAAGUCGACAUUUUAAUAAGUUUGAUUACAUAGAGAUUUUUACAAACCAUAUCGCGAGCCAACUCCCUGGCAUCUGGCCGAAAAUGCCAAGGUUUCUUUAACUGUCAAUUCUCCUAAAUGAAUAUCAUGUUGGCUAAUAUAUGAUGCAGUUUUUUCAGGUAUAAAUUCGUCCAAUCCGUGUCCAUUGUACGUCACUCUUCCUGAAACCUGCUCAAGCAUGUCAAUUAGAAUCAUGUUGAUCUUGAACAAGUGAGGUAGAGAAACUGGAAUUCAUAAUGCAAUUGAUGCUACUUUUAGAUCAGAGUCGAGCCUUCCAGCCAAAGCCUGCAAGAACGUGG